rnacentral:rRNA from 1 species
GUGGAGCNAUGUGGUUUAAUUUCGAAGCAAACGGCGCAGAACCCUUACCAAACCCUUGACAUCCCCUAUUAGCGGUGUUUUUUAGAGAGAGAUUCCUUCAGUUUGGGCGGGAUAGGUGACAGGUGCUGCAUGGCUGUCGUCAGCUCUUGUGUCGUGAGAUGUUCGGUUAAGUCCGGCAACGAGCGCAACCCACACCCUUAGUUGCCAGCAGUUCGGCUGGGCACUCUAGGGGAACUGCCCGUGAUAAGCGGGAGGAAGGUGUGGAUGACGUCAAGUCCUCAUGGCCCUUACGGGUUGGGCUACACACGUGCUACAAUGGUGGUGACAGUGGGUUAAUCCCCAAAAACCAUCUCAGUUCGGAUUGUCGUCUGCAACUCGACGGCAUGAAGUCGGAAUCGCUAGUAAUCGCGUAACAGCAUGACGCGGUGAAUACGUUCCCGGGCCUUGACACACCGCC